rnacentral:rRNA from 1 species
UACGUAGGGUGCAAGCGUUAAUCGGAAUCACUGGGCUUAAAGGGCGCGUAGGCGGGUCAUCAAGUCAGGGGUGAAAUACUCCGGCCUAACCGGAGAACGGCUUCUGAUACUGGUGACCUCGAGGGGUGUAGGGGCAUGCGGAACUUCCGGUGGAGCGGUGAAAUGCGUAGAUAUCGGAAGGAACGCCGGUGGCGAAAGCGGCGUGCUGGACACCUUCUGACGCUGAGGCGCGAAAGCCAGGGGAGCAAACGGG